AUUGAACGCUGGCGGCAGGCCUAACACAUGCAAGUCUAGCGAGCGGCGGACGGGUGAGUAAUGUCUGGGCAACUGCCUGAUGUACGGGGAUAACUACUGUAAACGGUAGCUAAUACCGCAUACCCUCAGAUGUGCCCAGAUGGGAUUAGCUAGUCGGUGGGGUAACGGCUCACCUCGGCUACGAUCCCUAGCUGGUCUGAGAGGAUGACCAGACACACUGGAACUGAGACACGGUACAGACGCCUACUGGAGGCAGCAGGGGGAAAUAUUGCACAAUGGGGGCAAGCCUGAUGCAGCCAUGCCGCGUGUAUGAAGAAGGCCUUCGGGUUGUAAAGUACUUUCAGCGGGGAGGCGUUACCCGCAGAGGAAGCACCGGCUAACUCCGUGGCAGCAGCCGCGGUAAUUC
rnacentral:rRNA from 1 species